CCUACGGGAGGCAGCAGUAGGGAAUAUUGCUCAAUGGGGGAAACCCUGAAGCAGCAACGUCGCGUGAAGGAUGAAGGCUUUCUGAUUUUUAAACCUUUUUUUUAGAGAAGAUAAUGACGGUAUCUAUCGCAUAAGCACCGGUUAACUCCGUACCAGCAUCCGCGGUUAUAAGGACGGUGCAAGCGUUACUCGGAAUCAUUGGGCGUAAAUAGCGCGUAUGUGGGAUAGCAAGUUAGAUGUGAAAAUCUAGGGGUUAACCCUAGAACUGCAGUUGAAACUGGUAUUCUAGAGUUGGCGAGAGGUAGGUGGAAUGCGUGGUGUAGGGGUAAAAUGCAUAGAGAUCAAGAAGAAUACUGAUUGCGAAGGCGACAU
rnacentral:rRNA from 1 species